rnacentral:ncRNA from 2 species
AAGACUGCUGUGGGAGAGAACGUACUUCACGUCACCGAAGGGGCAAAUCGUAACCGAUGAAUCUCUCAGGUAAAAAGACUACAGCAGGACG